rnacentral:rRNA from 1 species
GACGAACGCUGGCGGCGUGCUUAACACAUGCAAGUCGAACGGAAAGGCCCUGCUUGCAGGGUACUCGAGUGGCGAACGGGUGAGUAACACGUGGGUGCUCUGCCCUGCACUUCGGGAUAAGCCUGGGAAACUGGGUCUACUACCGGAUAGGAGCCAUUUUUAGUGUGAUGGUUGGAAAGUUUUUUCGGUGUGGGAUGAGCUCGCGGCCUAUCAGCUGGUUGGUGGGGUAAUGGCCUACCAAGGCGGCGUCGGGUAGCCGGCCUGAGGGGGUGGACGGCCACGUGGGGGCGGGGAGACGGGCCCGGCGCCUACGGGGGGCGGCAGGGGGGAAGAUUGCGGAAUGGGGGCGAGCCUGAGGCGGGGAGGCCGCGUGGGGGAUGAGGGGCGUCGGGUUGGAAGCUCCGUUCGCUAGGGACGAGGCGGUUUGUGACGGUGCCUGGAUAAGAAGCACCGGCUAACUACGUG